UUCAUAUUUUUUUCGUUCCUUUUACUGUAUUUAGUGUUGACACAUUUUCUAAUGGUCCCUAAAGCAGGUUUGUAAAUCUUAUGAAGGGACAUAUUCCGAUUGAAAGUGAAGCUCUUGGUAAGGGGUGAAUCUGCUAAAAAAAGACGUACCAGCUUUUGGAUUAUGAUGAUCACUCGCAUGUUUUUGAAGAAGAAUCGUCAGAACCCUUCUGAUUAUCGGGCUGAUAUUGCGCAUUAGGUAGAAUUGUUCCAAGUAGAUCGUCAUUCCAUUCUUCAUUCUCCUACUACCCCUGUUCAUUGUCCUGAAGUGGACUUGGAGUUGGCACUGAUGUACUGAUAGAUACCAUGCUCCAGUUCAUAAGUCAUAAAGUAAUCGAAAUAAUGAAACACUUACAUUGAACUUGCACUCCAGAAGCUUCUCCCAAAUCCUAACAUAUGGAUUUUGGGAAACGUAACAACCAAAUUCUAACUUAUCAAUUGUUGUUAAAUAUUG